GAUGAACGCUAGCUACAGGCUUAACACAUGCAAGUCGAGGGGUAACAAGGGGAAAGCUUGCUUUCCUUGUUGACGACCGGCGCACGGGUGAGUAACGCGUAUCCAACCUGCCUAUAACUAGGGAAUAACCUUGCGAAAGUAAGACUAAUACCCAAUGAUUUCCUUUGAUGACAUCAGAUUAGGGAUAAAGAUUUAUCGGUUAUAGAUGGGGAUGCGUCUGAUUAGCUUGUUGGCGGGGUAACGGCCCACCAAGGCAACGAUCAGUAGGGGUUCUGAGAGGAAGGUCCCCCACAUUGGAACUGAGACACGGCCCAAACUCCUACGGGAGGCAGCAGUGAGGAAUAUUGGUCAAUGGGCGGAAGCCUGAACCAGCCAAGUAGCGUGCAGGAUGACGGCCCUAUGGGUUGUAAACUGCUUUUAUACAGGAAUAAAAUUAGCCACGUGUGGUUAUUUGUAGGUACUGUAUGAAUAAGGACCGGCUAAUUCCGUGCCAGCAGCCGCGGUAA
rnacentral:rRNA from 1 species